CCCGUAAGUAAAUUAAACAUUUUAAUUUUAGGUUAUAUUAUAAUUGAAGCACCAUACAAUACAGGUCAAAGUGACUGUAAUGGUGAAAUGCGUGAAAACUACUCGGAGGAUAUAUUUAGCAUAACGAAACUGAGUUACCAAUACAGUAAGCACGUUUUAAUUAAUUUAAUUAUAUUUUGAAACACUACCUAACAACAUUUAUUCGACUAAAAACUGUGUC